CUACUUCAGUUAGAUCUACCACGAAGUGUUAUAAAUUGGAUUAUUGAUUUCUUAAGUAACAGAUUCCAAAGAGUCAAACUUUCACAAGGAUGUUUUUCAGAUUGGGGUGCAGUACCUUCGGGCGUCCCUCAAGGCACCAUUUUAGGUCCAUGGCUCUUUUUAAUCCUGAUAAAUGAUUUAUCUAUCACAGAUACUGACUUAUGGAAAUACGUGGACGAUACGACAGUAUCGGAAACAGUUGACAAAAACCAACAGAGUAGAGCACAGACAAUUGCUAAUGAGAUGUCACAAUGGUCCCAAAACAAUAAAAUGAAGCUGAAUGAAGAGAAAUGUAAGGAGCUCCGUAUUUCCUUCUCAAAAGUCCCUCGUGAUUUUAACCCGAUACUUAUUAACAAUAAAAGUAUUAGAGUCGUAAAAUCCGUUAAACUUCUGGGCUUGUCAUUCGAUAAUAACCUGACGUGGAAUCUACAUAUCGAAGAGGUAGUUAAAAAAGUAUCCAAACGAAUCUAUUACCUGAUCCAACUCAAACGGGCCAGUAUUCCUCGGAAUGAUCUGGUUCUAUUUUAUGUUACAUGUAUUCGAUCUGUUAUCGACUAUGGUAUCCCUGUCAUUUACUAUUCGUUGCCAAAAUACUUGCGUUCCGAAUUGGAAAGAUUACAAAAAAGAGCUAUUAGAAUCAUCUGUCCAAACACUAAUUACGAAGACGCUUUAAUUAGUUGUGGAUUGGAGUCACUGUCUGUUCAUCAUGAAAAUAUUUGUACUAGUUUAUUUCAAACAGUAGUUGCUGAUGAAAAUCAUAAGUUACGAAGUUUACUGCCACCUACACAUACUUCUUUUUAUGAUUUAAGAAACGAUAGGAAAUUUGAAAUUCCUAGAUGUAACACUAAUCGUUUUCAAACUAGUUUUUUUGUGGCUUCGUGCCGCAAAUCAUUUAUCUAAUGCUAUUGAAAUGACCUAAUAUUUUUAAUAAUUUUAAAUUUUUUAGUAUAUUAAAGUAAUAAACAUCUUGUAUAUAUAAUAUUUAUAUGGAAUGUCAUCAUAAUGGCUUGAUAAACUCUUCUUUUAUAUUCUCGUAAUUAGUUAAAUUUACUUGUAAAAAAAAAAUACGCAAUUCAGCCUAUGGCUGCGAAGUAUUUUAUUAAAUCUAUCUAUCUAUCUAUCUAUCUAAUAGAGUUAAGUUAACUCAACAAUUUUUCAAAUUUCAUUUCACUAAUGAAAACAAAGGAACUGCUAGAGCCCCAUGAGAGAUUCGAACUCACGACCUUCAGUUUAUGAGACAACUGCUUUGCCCCUGAGUUAAUGAGGCAGUUAUGCAACCGUGCUAUUAUUGUGAAAGAUAUAUUAACGCUGAUUGAUUCCGAUCUCAACUGUGCCAAAGCACGUGCAAGAAAUUCAUUUUGCUGCAAGUUGGUGGUACCCAGACCGCUCGCGCCGCGAUCUGCACUGGUAUUGUUCGUAUCGGUCUUCGAAGGAGUUCGGAGAACUACAUCUCCCCUUCAGGUAAGUACCAUAGGUCUCCCGAAAAGGUCUUUUAUUUAAAAAAAAAUCCAUACAAUUUGCUUUAAAAUGCAAUGCUUUGACAUGCAAUGCUUCAAUGUACAGUAAAACCUCUAUAAUUUGUAUUACAUGAAGUACGUGCAACAUCACAAUAGCGUUGUGUCAUUAUGAAUAUAUAUCCCUAAGGUUGGCAACUAAAUACAUAUUUAAAACUGUAUACAAAAACUUAAUGACGAAAAAACUCGUACAUAAACAUCGAAAUUCAUUAAAAAACUCACUAUGGUAAAAAAUAACUUUAGUACUUCUACAUUGUGUUUUUUUCUUCUCUCAACACUUUUAAACGAGUUAAUUUUGCGAAAAUUCCCCGAGGAAAAUGGCUCAAUUUGGUAAAGAAAAAACCCUAAAAAAAAACAACAAAAAAAACCACUAAAAAACAAAAAUAAAAAAACACAAAAACAAACCAAAAAAAAACCAAAAGUCCUUUAAAAAAUAAAAUAAAUAAAUAAAUAAAAAACCUUUUAAAAAAAUAAAUAAAUAAAUAAACUUUUUUUUUAAUAAAUAAAAGACCUUUUCGGUAGACCUAUGGUAAGUAUUUAACCCUCCGGGGAAAUUACGUUUCUGUACUUCUCCUGCAGUCCUGCUAAUAUAAUUUGCAAUAAAUCCCAAUGUUGACUUUUAUCCCACAACUUCUGAUAACGUGCGCGUGCUUGUGGGAAGCAGGGAGAUUUGCAUGUAUAAUAUAUACAUCCACAUGCAUGCAAUAUAAAGUUAAAAAAAAAGAAUUUAAAAUUCACCUGAUGAGUGUGGCAAGCAUUGCUUGUCAUACGAAACAAGUUUGUAGUGAAUAAAUCUUAUGAAGUAAACCAGGUUUAUUUUAUCUUUAUCUAUAUUUGCUAUUUUUUGAAAAUUUCUUAAGCUACCCUCUAGGAAAAUUUAAGGUAAACCCCUCCUCCCCCUCCCAUAGGAUAUGCAGACCCCUCAAUAGGAGGGGGGGUGUGCCUAUAUUAAAUGGAAUGGCCCAUAUUUCAAAGUCCUGGCACAUCAGCAAAGAUAUAAUAAAAACAAUUAUGGUAGACGAAAUUGUACUUAAAACUUUGUUAUUCUUUGCUAUUCUAUUCUUUAAAUUGUCUUUGUAUAUUCAGUGUAACACCUCUGUGUAACAUUAUUCUGCAGUGUAUAAACAUUAUUCAUGUAUGAUUAUUCAUAUGUCAUCUGUGACUCGAUUUCCAUUUUAGUAAAUGACAUACUUUUUUGUAGUUUCCUAACAGAAAGAUCAGGCUGACUCCUUCAAAGAAGUCACCAGUAAAAAACAUAAAUCUAGUUAUGGAAAAAUUUUGUCCACAAUAAAAUAAAAUAACAACAAUUUACAAUAUACUUCUUGUGUGUGUUGGUGUUAUGUACACAGGUGAAUAUGAUGUUUGUGAUGUUACUCUGAGUGUGCAUCCACACCGAGCCGAGUUCAGUUGGUAGAGCAUUGGACUAAUAUCCCAAAGAUCGCAGGUAAUUUGAUUCCCACCGUGGUCAGGCAAACUUUUCAGCUUGCCCGAUGUGCAUGCACACUCAGAAUAACAUCACAAACAUCAAUUCACAAUGUAUAGGGAUCCAUAAUAAAAUAAAUAUGUUGGGAUCCAUAAUAAAAUAAAAUAAUUUACAAUAUUCUAGUAAUCUAUAUGUCACUGUUAUAAUUGUUUCUUGGAUCAUCUCUAUCCCAUGGUCCACUUUUCACUAUCAACAAUGCUGUACUGUAGAGUAAUAUCCACCAAGCACACAGAAUUUAUUGGUUGUAGAUCACAGUUACAUCCAGUUUGCCCUUAUAAAUUUAUUGGUUGUAGAUCACAGUUACAUCCAGUUUGCCCUUGUAAAUUUAUUGGUGACAGCACACUGUCCAACUCUUCAUUAACAGUAUCUGGAUCUCGAGGUUGAAUUGUUUGAGAAGGUGGGGAUAGCACAAUAUCGAUUCGAAAUCCCACAAAAUAACAUUCUCAAAGAUAAGAGAUUGUCCUGUUCUAUCUUGCCCGAGAUCACCGAGGUCAGAGAACUGCAACAUAUGAAAACAAUAUUCAGUUAACAAAGUACAAUAUUAAAGCAGGGCGCAUGCGGGGAC